GACGAACCGUGCGAACGUUGUUCGGAAUCACUGGGCUUAAAGCGUGUGUAGGCGGAUCGUUAAGUACCUUGUGAAAUCCCACGGCUCAACCGUGGAACGGCUGGGUAUACUGGCGGUCUUGGGCCAUUCAGGGGCGACUGGAACAAGCGGUGGAGCGGUGAAAUGCGUAGAUAUCGCUUGGAACGCCAAAGGUGAAAACAGGUUGCUGGGGUUGUGCCGACGCUGAGACACGAAAGCCAGGGGAGCAAACGGG
rnacentral:rRNA from 1 species